ACGUAGGUCCCGAGCGUUAUCCGGAAUUAUUGGGCGUAAAGAGCAUGUAGGCGGUUAAUUAAGUCUGGUGUGAAAUCUAGUGGCUCAACCACUAAAUAGCAUUGGAAACUGAUUAACUAGAAUACUGGAGGGGCAAGUGGAAUUCCAUGUGUAGCGGUGGAAUGCGCAGAUAUAUGGAGGAACACCAAAGGCGACGGCAGCUUGCUGGACAGAGAUUGACGCUGAGAUGCGAAAGUGUGGGGAGCAAACAGGA
rnacentral:rRNA from 1 species